UACGAAGGGGGCAAGCGUUGUUCGGAAUUACUGGGCGUAAAGGGCGCGUAGGCGGCUUACCAAGUCAGGCGUGAAAUUCCCGGGCUCAACCUGGGGGCUGCGCUUGAUACUGGUGAGCUUGAAUGCGGGAGAGGAUAGUGGAAUUCCCAGUGUAGAGGUGAAAUUCGUAGAUAUUCGCAAGAACACCAGUGGCGAAGGCGGCUCACUGGCCCGAUACUGACGCUGAGGCACGAAAGCGUGGGGAGCAAACAGG
rnacentral:rRNA from 1 species